UACGUAGGGUGCGAGCGUUGCCCGGAUUUAUUGGGCGUAAAGGGCGCGUAGGCGGCCACGCACGUCCGUUGUGAAAUCGCCCGGCUCAACUGGGCGGGGUCAGCGGAUACGGUGUGGCGUCGAGGCAAGCUAGGGGGCAAUGGAAUUCCCGGAUGUAGUGGUGGAAUGCGUAGAGUAUCGGGAGGAACACCAGUGGCGAAGGCGGUUGCCUGGAGCUUUGCUGAC
rnacentral:rRNA from 1 species